rnacentral:rRNA from 1 species
AACGAACGCUGGCGGCGCGUCUUAAGCAUGCAAGUCGGACGGCAAGGCGGGAGCUUGCUCCUGCACUAGAGUGGCGGACUGGUGAGUAACACGUGGGUGACAUACCCUGGGGUUGGGGAUAGCCGGUAGAAAUACCGGGUAAUACCGAAUACGAACGCACAGGUUAGAGUGGUGCGAGGAAAGGAGCUGCGGCUCCGCCCUAGGAUUGGCCCGCGGCCCAUUAGCUAGUUGGAGUGGUAAAGGCACACCAAGGCGAUGAUGGGUAUCCGGCCUGAGAGGGUGAACGGCCACACUGGAACUGAGACACGGUCCAG